AUGGCCGAGCUGCGGCACGGCACGGUGGCGGCGGCGGCGGCCCGCGCCUCCGGCUCGCCCGCGAAGCGCGAUGCGGAGGCCGCCUCCGCCUCCGCAUCCUCUCCCUUCCUCUCCUCCCCACGCGGCGACGGCGGCAAGGACGGCGCGCUGCGCCCGCCCCCUCCGCUCCACCAGAGGUACCCGCUCCCGGCCGCCGUCCGCGCCCUCCUCGCGCUGGAGGACCCCCGGUCGCCCUCCGCCCCGCCCUCCUACCGGAUCCUGCUCGCCGUCCUCGCCUGCGUCGCCCUCGGCGCGCUCGUCUCCGCCCCCUCCGUCUGGUCGCGCCUCAACGCGCCCUACCUGUGCCGCAAGGAUGGGAUUCGGCUCCAGUGCCCCGGGGUGAGCAACUCUCUGUGGGAGAAUCCGCAUGCCGCCGCCACGUCUUGGAAGCCGUGUGCUGAGCGACGCAGCGACGAGAUCUCAGAUCUUGUGUCAGAGAACGAAACUUCUGGGUAUAUUUUUAUUCAUGCUGAGGGUGGAUUAAACCAGCAACGCAUAGCUAUAUGUAAUGCUGUCGCAAUUGCUAAGAUAAUGAACGCCACACUUAUUUUGCCUGUGCUGAAGCAGGAUCAAAUAUGGAAAGAUCAAACGAAAUUUGAAGAUAUCUUUGAUGUAGAUCAUUUUAUAAAUUAUUUGAAGGAUGAUGUGCGCAUUGUUCGAGAUAUUCCUGACUGGUUCACAGAAAAAGAUGAGCUGUUCACCAGUAUAAGGCGUACUGUAAAAAAUAUCCCAAAAUAUGCACCAGCGCAGUUUUAUGUUGAUAAUGUACUUCCAAGGAUCAAAGAGAAAAAGAUAAUGUCUAUCAAGCCAUUCGUUGAUAGAUUGGGAUAUGAUAAUGUUCCAAUGAAGAUAAACCGGCUCAGGUGUAGAGUUAAUUAUCACGCAUUAAAGUUUCUACCUGGCAUUGAAGAAAUGGCUGACAAGCUGGCAACAAGGAUGCGGAAUCGAACUGGAAAUGUAAAUCCAUACAUGGCUCUUCAUCUUAGAUUCGAGAAAGGAAUGGUGGGUUUAUCCUUUUGUGAUUUUGCUGGAACCAGAGAGGAGAAAGCAAUGAUGGCUGAAUAUAGACAGAAACAAUGGCCAAGACGCUUCAAGAAUGGAUCUCACCUUUGGUCUUUAGCACUGGAAAAGAGAAAAGAAGGCCGCUGCCCGCUUGAGCCUGGGGAAAUAGGUUUCAUUCUGCGUGCAAUGGGAUAUACGAAGGAGACUCAGAUAUAUGUUGCAUCAGGGCAAGUGUAUGGUGGAAACAAUAGAAUUGCACCGCUGAGGAAUAUGUUCCCCAAUUUGGUUACCAAAGAAGAUCUCGCAAGCAAGGAGGAGAUAGAGCAUUUCAAGAAGCAUGUAACCAGCCUUGCUGCAUUGGACUUCCUGGUAUGCCUGAAGUCGGACGUAUUCGUCAUGACCCAUGGCGGCAAUUUUGCGAAGCUGAUCAUCGGGUUCCGCCGCUACAUGGGGCGGCAUAGGCUCAAGUCUAUCAAGCCGGACAAGGGGCUCAUGUCGAAGUUCUUCGGCGACCCCUACAUGCCAUGGGCGACUUUCGUGGAGGAUGUGAUGAUCACUCACCAGACACGAACAGGCCUCCCCGAGGCCACCUUCCCGCACUAUGACCUCUGGGAGAACCCUCUCUCCCAUUGCAUGUGUAGAGCAUAA
rnacentral:rRNA from 1 species